UAAGCAGAGAUUGUGUGUAUCGACUUUGUGCCUCUUAAUAAAUGUACUUUGAUCGAAAGAGUUCUCUGCAAAACUAUAUAUUGGGGAAGAUGGGCAGUUGUGUUUCAUCCUCUUGUUGAGAUUUCAACAAUCAUCUUCCUUAAAUUC
rnacentral:snoRNA from 1 species